UUAAACAUGUUGGGUCAUAUGCAACGCACGUGAAAGCUAAAACUAGUAUAUAUGUAUGUAUAAGCUAAAACUAGUAUAUACAUACAUAUAUACUAGUUUUAGCUUUCACGUGCGUUGCACAUGACCCAACAUGUUUAA
rnacentral:pre_miRNA from 1 species